rnacentral:ncRNA from 1 species
GAAUAAACUUUGAAGAGGAAGAGUACAAUACGAAAUGUUUUUUCAGAGAAUUGGCGGUUGGUGCGAGCCGAUAAAAACACGUUUUGGAACUGGCCUUGGAGUUUUGCCCCCAAAAUCAGCUUUGAUUAGUAAGCGGCAACGGUAGCCACCGUUAUUGGUUUUGAGUGUGCCUUUUGGCAAACUAGAGUGGUAACACGGAGUGUCCCUUCGUCUCUAAU